UGGCAAACUAUUUUAGCAAGCUGCGAAUGCAGAACCUAUACUUUGUCAUUUGAAAAGUAUGAGGCAGAAAUACUUCUAUCAAUUCUUGAAUAAAAUCUCUUCCAUUAGCUGUGAUGCAUCUAACAGUACCAACUACGAGGACCCCAAAAAAUGAUUUAUACUCUUAACAUUCAACAAGUAAUCGAAUUACAGACCACAAUAACCGAACAAUAAACUUUAAUUCUUCUAUUCUGUGAAGUAGUCAAGGAUAGAUAACUCCUACUUGACUCCUCUGAAGCAGGUAACAUUAAAUGUUUCGGUAGUUUUAGGGGUUUUAUUGAUAAAAAUUGAUUCCUGAUAUCAUGUACGAAGAUAACACAGCAUAUCGGCAUGUCACUACUCUUGGCCGAACAGGAUGGCUUCGAGAUUUAGGAGGUGUUACAAUUAAGAUUGUAAAUAACUACACUGAGUACCCUAAAAUCAAUGUUCCAAAUAUAAAAAUGGAUCGGAACAAGAUUAUGGAGAAAUUUAAUGUAAGUUUGUUUGUUAAUUUAUUUAUACU
rnacentral:lncRNA from 1 species